UACGAAGGGGCUAGCGUUGCUCGGAAUCACUGGGCGUAAAGCGCACGUAGGCGGCUUCUUAAGUCAGGGGUGAAAUCCUGGAGCUCAACUCCAGAACUGCCUUUGAUACUGAGGAGCUUGAGUCCGGGAGAGGUGAGUGGAACUGCGAGUGUAGAGGUGAAAUUCGUAGAUAUUCGCAAGAACACCAGUGGCGAAGGCGGCUCACUGGCCCGGUACUGACGCUGAGGUGCGAAAGCGUGGGGAGCAAACAGG
rnacentral:rRNA from 1 species